rnacentral:rRNA from 1 species
GAUGAACGCUGGCGGCGUGCCUAAUACAUGCAAGUCGAGCGAACAGAUGAGGAGCUUGCUCCUCUGACGUUAGCGGCGGACGGGUGAGUAACACGUGGAUAACCUACCUAUAAGACUGGGAUAACUUCGGGAAACCGGAGCUAAUACCGGAUAAUAUAUUGAACCGCAUGGUUCAAUAGUGAAAGACGGUUUUGCUGUCACUUAUAGAUGGAUCCGCGCCGCAUUAGCUAGUUGGUAAGGUAACGGCUUACCAAGGCAACGAUGCGUAGCCGACCUGAGAGGGUGAUCGGCCACACUGGAACUGAGACACGGUCCAGACUCCUACGGGAGGCAGCAGUAGGGAAUCUUCCGCAAAGGGCGAAAGCCUGACGGAGCAACGCCGCGUGAGUGAUGAAGGUCUUCGGAUCGUAAAACUCUGUUAUUAGGGAAGAACAAAUGUGUAAAUAACUAUGCACGUCUUGACGGUACCUAAUCAGAAAGCCACGGCUAACUACGUG